AUUGAACGCUGGCGGCAGGCCUAACACAUGCAAGUCGAGCGGAUGAAGGGAGCUUGCUCCUGGAUUCAGCGGCGGACGGGUGAGUAAUGCCUAGGAAUCUGCCUGGUAGUGGGGGAUAACGUCCGGAAACGGGCGCUAAUACCGCAUACGUCCUGAGUGAGAAAGUGGGGGAUCUUCGGACCUCACGCUAUCAGAUGAGCCUAGGUCGGAUUAGCUAGUUGGUGGGGUAAAGGCCUACCAAGGCGACGAUCCGUAACUGGUCUGAGAGGAUGAUCAGUCACACUGGAACUGAGACACGGUCCAGACUCCUAAGGGAGGCAGCAGUGGGGAAUAUUGGACAAUGGGCGAAAGCCUGAUCCAGCCAUGCCGCGUGUGUGAAGAAGGUCUUCGGAUUGUAAAGCACUUUAAGUUGGGAGGAAGGGCAGUAAGUUAAUACCUUGCUGUUUUGACGUUACCAACAGAAUAAGCACCGGCUAACUUCGUG
rnacentral:rRNA from 1 species